rnacentral:rRNA from 1 species
CCUACGGGUGGCUGCAGUGGGGAAUAUUGCACAAUGGGCGAAAGCCUGAUCCAGCAACGCCGCGUGAAGGAAGAAGGCCUUCGGGUCGUUAACCUCUUUCUUUCGGGAAGCAAAACUGACGGUACGCAAGGAGGCAGCGCCGGCUAACUAAGAGGCAGCAGCCGCGGGAAUACGUAGGGGGCGAGUGUUAUCCGGAUUUAUGGGGUGUAAAGGGUACGUAGGUGGUAACCUAAGCGCACGGUUAAAGCCAAUGGCUCAACCAUGGUUCGCCGUGGGAACUGGGAUUCUUGAGUGCAGGAGAGGAAAGCGGAAUGCGUAGUGUAGCGGUGAAAUGCGUAGAUAUUAGGCGGAACACCGAUGGCGAAGGCAGCUUUCUGGCGUCUAACUGACACUGAGGUACGAAAGCGUGGGUAGCGAACAGGAUUAGAUACCCCGGUAGUC